GUUCCCACGUGGCUGAAAAACGUGAAGGAACAGAUUUACAAAUUGGCCAAGAAAGGCCUGAGUCCCUCCCAUAUAGUUGUGAUCCUGAGGGACUCAUACAGUGUGGUACAGGUCCGUUUUGUGACUGUAAAUAAAAUCUUGAGAAUCCUUAAGUCCAAAGGCCUUGCCCCUGAUCUCCCUUUGGACCUACCAUUUGAUUAAGAAAACAGUUGCUGUCUGGAAGCACCUUGAGGGAACAGAAAGGAUAAGGAUGCUAAAUUCUGCCUGAUUCUGAUAGCAGAAUUCACCAGUUGGCUCUAUAGUAUAAGACUAAGCGGGUGCUCCCACCCAAUUGGAUAUAUGAGAUGAGUUGUCCACAGCCUCUGCUC
rnacentral:lncRNA from 1 species